rnacentral:tRNA from 1 species
GGAUACAUAGCUCAGCUGGUUAGAGCAGCCGCCUCAUAAGCGGAAGGUCGCGGGUUCGAGUCCUGCUGUAUCCA